ensembl:lncRNA
CAAAACUGGCCUGGCAACAUCACCUUUCCUGGGCUCCAUUUUAUCAUUGCUGAGUUGGAUAGAGGGAGCAAUGGUCAGAGCCCUCACUGACCACUGUGAGUGAACCCCAGACCAUUAGCCCCGGGUCUCAAAGAGGCUGACCUAACCUGGACAACCUCAUUCCACAUCUUGUGCCAGAAGGAUGUAGAACUCACCCUCUCAGGACCUUCUAGAAACAGCAGAAAGUUAAAAUUGCCAGAGAGAAACUCAGCCUGGAACAGCUGCAGGACACCUCUGAAUCCUGUCCUCCGCCAGUUGGUGCAACCACCACUAGCCUUAGUAGGUUUCUCCCCAGGGGAGGGCCAGGCCCACCAACCUCAGCCUGCCAGAUGGGAACAUGGAGGAGCCUCGUGGCCGCAGACAGGGACCCCCGGAGGUGCUCCAGCCUCCCCAUCCUCAGCCCCAGUUUGGCCAGACAGUAAAGGCUUCCCUGGUGGCUCAGAUGGUAAGGAAUCUGCCUGCUGUGCAGGAGACCCAGGUUUGAACCCUUGGUUGGGAAGAUCCCCUGGAGAAGGGAAUGGCCACCUUCUCCAGUAUUCUUGCCUGGAGAAUCCAAUGCACAGAGGAGCCUGGCGGGCUACAAUUCAUAGGGUCACAAAAAGUUGGACACCACUGAAGUGAUUUAGCGUGCGUGCCAGCAUAAACAGUAAAAAGGCUUGAAAGUUGUCCUAAGGACAUGUGACCUUCCAGACGAGCACCUUGGUUGUUUCAUUGGACUCAGAUGAAAAGAAGUGUUCACCUUUGAAAUCAAGCUCCAGUUUCUUUGAGCAGCAGGGCAGGACUGAUGUCUGAGAACAGGAGCGAGCCUCCCACACUUGACUCCUUCCUUCUCCUCCCCUUCUCUCCCCUCCCACCCUCCAAAACUGUUAGAUAAACAUAGAAACACUUGGAGCUAAUUGGCCCUCACCUUCCAAAGUCCAAGGCUGCAGGUCCCUCUGAGAACUCUGUAAAAGGUAGCUCUCUGACAGGCAGCAUGGACAAGAGAAAAAUGCUUCCUUCCCACCCCUUUGUUUAAUUUUUUUUUUAAACUGUGAUAUGAUUGAUACAUAACAGUGUAUUCGUUUUAGGUGUGCAACAUAGUGAUUUGAUACCUGUACACCCUGUAAAAUGGUCACAAGAAGCCUAGGUAUUUUCCUUCAUCUCACAUGGUUACAGAUUUUUUUUUUUCUUGUGAUGAGAACUUUUAAGAUCUAUCCUCUUGGCAACUUUCAGGUAUCUAACACAGCAUUACUAACUAUGGUCACUGCAUGGUACAUGACAUUCCCAGGACUCAUUUAUUUUACAUCUGGAAGUUUGUUCCUUUGACCCUCCCAUCACCCCUUUCCAUUGUGUGUGUGUGUGUGUACAUGUGUGUGUGUGUGUGUACACGUGUGUGCGUGCCCCUAUUUUCCCUUUAUCAGUUCGCAUCCCUAGUGUUUGAAACUUUAGUAAACGUUUAGCUGAAUAACUUCUGUUGGCACUGGCAAGCAGCAUAGUUGUUUCUGGAGAGCAUAAGAGGUAUUCUUUUCCAUUUGCAAAUCAGAUUUUUUUUUUAAAAAGACAGACAAUGGCAAUCUUGUCUCCAGAUAAGUUUGUUCUUAAAAUGCUGGCCUGAAUUCACACUGGUGUAUUUUCUCCCAUGCCCAGUGUGGGGCCUGGCACAUGGUAGGUGCACAAUAAACAUUAGCUGAGUGAACGAGUGAAAAUGUGACUCAUGUUCAGAAACUUUUCGUAGCUCUCAGUGGGACAGGGAAAAUGCCCUGUGUCUGUGCUAUGUGCUCUGCUUAGUUGCUCAGUCUUGUCUGACUCUUUGCGACCCCAUGGACUGUAGUCCACCAGGCUCCUCUGUCCAUGGGGAUUCUCCAGGCAAGAAUGUUAGAGUGGGUUGCCAUGCCCUCAUCCAGGGGAUCUUCCCAACUUAGGAAUUGG